rnacentral:lncRNA from 1 species
CAUUUUCACCAAUAAAAUUAUGUACCUUAAGGGUCCACGAAAAGAAGAACUUCUAUCAUCCUCACAUUGAAGAACUAACGAUCCACAUCUGCAUCUCUAAAGUUCUAUGAUAUCAAAAUGGACCAUUUGUACAAAUUAUUUGGCUCCACUGAGAGCAGUGUGACCCAACUAUUUUGCCCAUGUUACAAUCUUCUAUUACUGAGAAUAUUGUUUAAGAUAG